rnacentral:rRNA from 1 species
AGCAGCCGCGGUAAUUCCAGCUCCAAUAGCGUAUAUUAAAGUUGUUGCAGUUAAAAAGCUCGUAGUUGAAUUUCGGGGUCAGUAGGUUGGUCGUGCCACUGGUAUGUACUGGCCUCACUGAUUCCUCCUUCUUGUAGAACCGUAAUGCCAUUAAUUUGGUGUUGCGGGGAAACAGGACUGUUACUUUGAAAAAAUUAGAGUGUUUAAAGCAGGCUAACGCUUGAAUACAUUAGCAUGGAAUAAUGAAAUAGGACGUUCGAUCCUAUUUUGUUGGUUUCUAGGAUUGACGUAAUGAUUAAUAGGGAUAGUUGGGGGCAUUAGUAUUCAAUUGUCAGAGGUGAAAUUCUUGGAUUUAUUGAAGACUAACUACUGCGAAGGCAUUUGCCAAGGAUGUUUUCAUUAAUCAAGAACGAAAGUUAGGGGAUCGAAGACGAUCAGAUACCGUCGUAGUCUUAACCAUAAACUAUGCCGACUAGGGAUCGGAUGAUGUAAUUUUUAAUGACUCAUUCGGCGCCUUACG